GGAUUCCAUUCUCCCCGCACCGAGCAAUUCCCGGAAACGGACUGCGGGGUGUGAGCACGCCACCCGGCGCGCUAAAGGGUGGAGCAUUCAAAUUACAAGAGACGUUACAGACCGAUGCAGUCGCAAGCAACGACAAACUCAUCACUUGUCUUUCAAAAGGAAGAGACUUUACAAAGCCGCACGAGAGCCUAGCGGCUAGUGCCGCCCGUGCCACGGUGGGAGAAGCGGGGGGAGCGAGACGUGGCCGGAGCGGGCGCCGAGUCACCCUUCAUCUACUUAUGAAAAUGAGAGAGAGACCGAGAGAGGCACAGACCCACACAGGCACGGGGGAAGCAGGCUCCAUGCAGGGAGCCUGACUUGGGACCGGAUCUUGGAUCCCCAGCAUCACGUCCGGGUCCGCAAAGGGCUCUCUGCAGGGAGCUUGCUUCUCCCUCUUCUUCCUCUGCUUAGGUCUCUACCUCUCUCCGUGUUUCUCAUGAAUAAAGAGAAUAUUUAAAAUCAAUAAAAUAUUUUUAUUUAUUUUUUUAAAGAUUUUAUUUAUUUAUUCAUGAUAGUCACACAGAGAGAGACAGAGAGGCAGAGACACAGGCAGAGGGAGAAGCAGGCUUCCAUGCAGGGAGCCUGACGCGGGAUUCAACCCCGGGUCUCCAGGAUCGCGCCCCGGGCCAAAGGCAGGCGCCAAACCGCUGCGCCACCCAGGGAUCCCGAUGAAAUAUUUUUAAGAAGAAUCUCUUAUAAAAUUUGCCAGCAAGGAAAAUACCUCCUCAGCGUGAGGCAGAUUUUGUCUCCUGUCUCAUGAAGUUUUGUGGGUAGUCUGAAUAUAAUUUAACGAAACAAGUAAAUCAAAUACAUACGAAUAGGAUAAAAAGUUUUUAGAUGAAACUGUUUUUUGUGUACAUACAAUGGAAUGUUUCAGCUCUAUUGUUUAUUUAAGUAAUCUCCACACCCAAUGUGGGGCUGGAACCCGCGACUCAGAGAUCAAGACUUGCAUGCUCUACCAACUAAGCCAGCCAAGCACUCCUAGGUGAAUUAUUAUUAUUAUUAUUUAUUUAUUUAUUUAUUUAUUUACGACUCUAUUUAUUUGAGAUAGAGUGUGUGUGAGAGAGCAUGAGCAGGGGGCGGAGGGAGAGGGAGAAUCGGACUCUGCUGGGCAGGGAGCCUGACUCAGGCCUUGAUCCCAGGACCCUGGGAAAAUGACCUGAGCUGAAGGCGGACGCUCAACCUAACUGACUCAGCCUGAAACCUUAAAGUUUUGCUAAGCUAAGAGAUGAGUUACUUUCGUUAGAUAGCCGGAUCACAUCCAAGUAAGAUAAUAAAUGAAACAUUGAAACAUCGAUUACUGAACAAAAAAAGUGGCUUAUCCACUUUUUGCUUUUUUUUCUUAAAUAGAGGAAUUAAAUAUAUUUGGAUCUAUUAAUAAACGUGUUUAGUGCCACAGUAAGAAAUUUACAGGAGAAAGCAUGUGUUUCUAGAAAUUAUAAAAGGAUAAAUCUGCCAAGCCACAAAAUGCUAAGAUGGUUCACAGUGGCUUGCUUCUUAGUUUUCACUGGAAAUUAAAGAUUUCUAAGAGUUAAGCAUCCUAAUAUAUAUAAGUAAAGCUACUAGAGAUAAUAAGGGAAAGGAACUUUAUGUAUGGUCAGGACUAAGAUGGGAAUGGCUUUAAUUAAGUAAAUGAAAGGUUUGUUUACAAAGGGGAUCCCUGGGUGGCGCAGCGGUUUAGCGCCUGCCUUUGGCCCAGGGCGCGAUCCUGGAGACCCGGGCUCGAAUCCCACGUCGGGCUCCCGGUGCAUGGAGCCUGCUUCUCCCUCUCCCUCUGCCUAUGUCUGUCUGUCUGUCUGUCUCUCUCUCUCUCUCUGUGUGUGUGUGUGUGACUAUCAUAAAUAAAUAAAAAUUUUUAAAGAAGAUUUAUUUAUUGAUUUGUGCUAUAAAUAAAUAUUAUUUAUCUAUUUAUUCACAAGAGACACAGAGACAGAGGCAGAGACAGAGACAGAGGCAGAGACAUAGGCAGAGGGAGAAACAGGCUCCUCGCAGGGAGCCCGAUGCAGAAUUCGAUCCCAGGAUCCUAGGAUCAAGACCUGAGACGAAGGGAGAUGCCUAACCGAGGGAAGGGAAGGGAAGGGAAGGGAAGGGAAGGGAAGGGAAGGGAAGGGAAGGGAAGGGAAGGGAAGGGAGGGGAGGGGCAGACGGCGAGAGAAAUCUAAGCAGACUCCUGGCUGAAGACUCACCCCGCUGUGGGGCUACAUCUCACGAUCCUGAGGUCAAGACCUGAGCAGAAACCAACAGUUGGACGCAGCCGACUGUGCCAUCCAGGUGCCCCCCACUUUGUGUCUUAAACAAUGGGCCAGACUCCCAACAUUCUGCUCUUGGGAGCAUGUUUUCCAGCUUCUUAAAUCAGUGCGUGCCAACGCAGCCCCCUGCCCCGCCAUGCCACAUGCACCUGAGUCUGUUUCCGCGUCUAGUUAGCUCAAAUCUCUUUCUGAAGCUCAGUUUUCCCAUCUGUUAAGUGGAGAUCAUAAACCCUGACCCACGUCCUCACAUGGUAGAUGGGAAUAAGGAUCCACCCAUAACCAAGAUGUAAAACAACCAGCCAAGAGUAAGGGUCCCCUUAAUUCUGUGAGAGGAGGAAGAGGAAGAAAGCUGAAGAUAUUGGGCGGUGGUCCUUGGCAGCCUCGAUUUCUUCAGGUGAAAAACAUGAUAGAUAACAUUUUCCCUUUGGGAUUGUGGAAAGACCAAAAGAGAAAACGAAGGGAUUAGCUGGCACACAGUGGGUUCUGAACAAUGGCAGGCAACUUGUGAAGCCCCGUUCUGGGUUCUGAGUCUCACUUGUAUUACAGAUCUAAUCUAGCGGGACAUGGAACUUGCUCUCCAGCACAGAAGCCCUGCUAUUUUAGUCCCAGGAUCCUGAAUACAUUCGGGAUGAGAGGCUGGGGGCAGGCGCUCUGUGGGCCCACGCAUUGUCUUGACCACCACGCGUAACAUCCUGGGCUUUCAGGCUUGGAUCAACACCAACACGUGUCAAAGAGACGCAGUGCGACAGCUCCACACUUCUUUGUUCAUCUCUCUCCAGGAGCAUUAAAGCUUUUUUAUUAUCCCAGCCACAGCUCUUGGAGGCUCUGAGUCACUAACAACUUAAAAAGAAAAAACGAAACCUUGCCUCCUGUGUUCUGGGCACCCUCCUUUUCUCUGUCUGACCGCCAGACGAUUGUGGAAACUGCCUUGCAGACUCUCCUCAGAGGUUCAGAAGGUAAAGGCUUCCCCAACAGCUGCGUGAGGAGUGGAUGGGGCUGAAUGGCGGCAGAGAGGAAUGGAAGAGCAUGAGCGUGGCAGAUGCCCCUUGUGACCAAGGACAAGGUCACGUUCACCUCUGUGAUCCCGGGCCCACACAGUGACAGGUGCAGAGCAGGUGUUACACCGAAGAAUUGGGUGGGUCAAAAAUUUCAUUUUAUGUUAUUAUUUUAUUGAACGAUUUAUUUAUUUGAGAGAGGGAGAGAGGGACAGAGAGCAUGAGCAGGAGGGGCAGAGAGAGGAGAGAGAAUCUCAAACAGACUCCAAGCUGAGCACGGAGCCUGAUGUGGGGCUUGAUCCCAGGGCCCUGAGAUCGAUCAGGACCCAAGCCGAAACCAAGAGCUAGAUAUUUAACUGACUGCGCCACCGAGGUGCCUCUGAAUCAACAAAUUUAAAAAGAGGUUUUCAGGGCAGCCCGGUGGCUCAGCGGUUUAGCGCCGCCUUCAGCCCAGGGCCUGAUCCUGGAGUCCCGGGAUCAUCGGAUCGAGUCCCACAUCCGGCUCCCUGCAUGGAGCCUGCCUCUCUCUCUCUCUCUCUCUCUCUCUCUCUCUCUCUCUCUCUCUCCCCCCAUGUCAUGAAUAAGUAAAUAAAAUUUAAAAAUAAAAUAAACGAAAGAAAAAUAGGAAAGAAAGGGAGAUCCAGAAAUAGAUCUAAAUAUAUAUGAGGACUUUUUGGUAUGAUAAAGGUGGCAUCUGAAAAUGAUGAUUAGAUGGGCUCUUCCAUAUAUGAUGCAGGAACCACUGGGUAGCCAUCCAGAAAAAAUAAGGUCAGAUUAAUACCGGAACGUAUAUACUAGGACAGAUACCAAGUGCGCCAGAGAUAGAAAUGCAAAAAAUCAACAAUUCUAAGGACAGUGAGCAGAGAAUAUGAACACUCAGUUCACAGCAAAUAAUAGUGGAUGUGAAGCACAUGGAAAGAUGAACAACCUGGCUUAUGAAGACACCACUGCAUACGAUGCAAGAGUUUGAUAACCAGACGGUUGGGCAAGGCCGUGGGGAACACGCAUUGGAUGAGAAAGCUAGCUGUCCUCUUCAAGUCCCUGCCCCUGGCUUAUCAUUCCCGACUCCCUUGAAGCGAUAGUAAGUUGGACACUUGGAAAGGGCCUGACCCUCACACUUGUUGUUGCUCUAACUUUGCAGGCACUUUGGUCUGUGCCCAUUGAUGUGAGCCGGCUAAGGGAGACCCACAUUAACCAAACACACGAGAAGCUGGUGUGUGAACUAGAAGGGGAAAUCAUUUUUUAUUUUUAUUUUUUUAAAGAUUUUAUUUAUGGGAUCCCUGGGUGGCGCAGCGGUUUAGCGCCUGCCUUUGGCCCAGGGCGCGAUCCUGGAGACCCGGGAUCGAGUCCCACAUCGGGCUCUUGGUGCAUGGAGCCUGCUUCUCCCUCUGCCUGUGUCUCUCUCUCUCUCUGUGACUAUCAUAAAUAAAUAAAAAAAAAAGAUUUUAUUUAUUUAAUCAUGAGAGAGAGAGAGAGAGAGAGAGAGAGAGAGACAGGCAGAGACACAGGCAGAGGGAGAAGCAGGCUCCAUGCAGGGAGCCUGACGUGGGACUCAUCCUGGGUGUCCAGGAUCACGCCCUGGGCUAAAGUCGGUGCUAAACAGCUGAGCCACCCAGGCUGCCCCGAAAUCAUUUUUUAAACGAUUUAACUCAUUUAUUUGACACAGAAAAAGAGAGAACACAAGCAGGGGGAGUAGCAGAGAGAGAGAGAGAGAGAGAGAGAGAGAGACCAAUGCAGGGCUCAGUCCCAAGACUCCAGGAUCAUGACCUGAGCCAAAGGCAGACGCUAGAGCGACUGAGCCACCCACGUGCCCCGAGAAAUCAUUUUUUUAAGUAUUGUAUUUAUUUUUAUUUUUUUAUUUUUGUUUUUUUUUUUAUUAUUUAUGAUAGUCACACAGAAUGAGAGAGAGAGAGGCAGAGACACAGGCAGAGGGAGAGGCAGGCUCCAUGCACCGGGAGCCCGACGUGGGAUUCGAUCCCGGGUCUCCAGGAUCGCGCCCUGGGCCAAAGGCGAGCGCUAAACCGCUGCGCCACCCAGGGAUCCCCUGUAUUUAUUUAUUUUUAAGUAGGCUCCACGUGCGAGUGGGACUUGAACACAGGACCCCGUUCUAGAGCUUACAUGCUAUGAGGCUAAAAGGCAAUAAAUAAAUGUAUAAAAUGUCAAGUGACGCCGUGCUGUGGAAUACAGGAAAGCCAGGUAAGGGAGAAGCAGGGGCCCUGGGCGGAUGACGGAAGAUGAAGCACAGGACUCUCUGCCAGCUGUUGAUAGUCUCCCUUUCCAGACGAGGAGGGUACAGAGAAAGGACCUGCCUGACAUGUUUUGGCCUUGUGUCUGGUUCUCACCAAUACACUGUAUACGGAACAUGGGAACGUGGGCCACCUGGGUGGCUCAGCGGUUGAGCGUCAGUCAGUCUGUGGCCCAGGUGGUGAUCCCGGGUCUUGGGAUCGAGUGGUGCAUGGGGCUCCCGGGAGGGAGCCCGUUCCUCCCCCUGCCUAUGUCUCUGCCUCUCUCUCUCUCCCUCGGUCUCUCAUAAAUAAAUAUAUACAUACAUACAUGAAUGAAUGAAUGAAUGAAUGAAUGAAAGAAAGAAAGAAAGAAAGAAAGAACGAAAGAAAGAAAUCUUAAAAAAAACAAAGAAGCCUGUCUCGUUACUGCUAAUAAUCAUGUCUGAUAACUUGUCAUCUCAUCAUCUCCCGGUUUAGAGAUCUCAGAUGGAAGGGUUGACGGAGGAGGCCAGGUUACUCGCUAGGUCCCACGGGUCCGCAGGGCUUAGCGCCCACGCUCGCCAGCUCCACGCUCCGGGGCACCCCCCCCCGCCCCGCCCCCCGCCCGCGUCCCGUCGGCGGAGGCAGCGGGAAGAGGACCCCAGAGGACCCGUGUGUCAGCAUCGGCAAUGCUCAGUCUCGUCGUGGGCCUGACUGGGAAGAAGCAUUCCUCGGUUGCCGGCGCCCCCGGCUUCCUCGGCCUAGCCUGCCCCUCGCACUCACUCGCCAAGCUGUGUGGUCUCGGGCCAGUUGCCUAACCUCUCUGCCUCCACCGCUUCUUCCGUAGGUAAACUCUGCAAGUUGGACGCCAAGAGAGCACUGAGCGCAAGUCUGGCCCAGACGAGAAGCGUUGGCUACGGUAUAGCGCACGCGGCUCACUCGUUUCGGUGUCACAGGCACGACGUCUCCACCGGUACCUCGUGGCACCUAGGACCCACAUCCUGGACCACUCAGACCCCAAGCUUCAUCUACUUAUGAAAAUGAGAGAGAGACCGAGAGAGGCACAGACCCACACAGGCACGGGGGAAGCAGGCUCCAUGCAGGGAGCCUGACUUGGGACCGGAUCUUGGAUCCCCAGCAUCACGUCCGGGUCCGCAAAGGGCUCUCUGCAGGGAGCUUGCUUCUCCCUCUUCUUCCUCUGCUUAGGUCUCUACCUCUCUCCGUGUUUCUCAUGAAUAAAGAGAAUAUUUAAAAUCAAUAAAAUAUUUUUAUUUAUUUUUUUAAAGAUUUUAUUUAUUUAUUCAUGAUAGUCACACAGAGAGAGACAGAGAGGCAGAGACACAGGCAGAGGGAGAAGCAGGCUUCCAUGCAGGGAGCCUGACGCGGGAUUCAACCCCGGGUCUCCAGGAUCGCGCCCCGGGCCAAAGGCAGGCGCCAAACCGCUGCGCCACCCAGGGAUCCCGAUGAAAUAUUUUUAAGAAGAAUCUCUUAUAAAAUUUGCCAGCAAGGAAAAUACCUCCUCAGCGUGAGGCAGAUUUUGUCUCCUGUCUCAUGAAGUUUUGUGGGUAGUCUGAAUAUAAUUUAACGAAACAAGUAAAUCAAAUACAUACGAAUAGGAUAAAAAGUUUUUAGAUGAAACUGUUUUUUGUGUACAUACAAUGGAAUGUUUCAGCUCUAUUGUUUAUUUAAGUAAUCUCCACACCCAAUGUGGGGCUGGAACCCGCGACUCAGAGAUCAAGACUUGCAUGCUCUACCAACUAAGCCAGCCAAGCACUCCUAGAGACACAGAGACAGAGGCAGAGACAGAGACAGAGGCAGAGACAUAGGCAGAGGGAGAAACAGGCUCCUCGCAGGGAGCCCGAUGCAGAAUUCGAUCCCAGGAUCCUAGGAUCAAGACCUGAGACGAAGGGAGAUGCCUAACCGAGGGAAGGGAAGGGAAGGGAAGGGAAGGGAAGGGAAGGGAAGGGAAGGGAAGGGAAGGGAAGGGAAGGGAAGGGAGGGGAGGGGCAGACGGCGAGAGAAAUCUAAGCAGACUCCUGGCUGAAGACUCACCCCGCUGUGGGGCUACAUCUCACGAUCCUGAGGUCAAGACCUGAGCAGAAACCAACAGUUGGACGCAGCCGACUGUGCCAUCCAGGUGCCCCCCACUUUGUGUCUUAAACAAUGGGCCAGACUCCCAACAUUCUGCUCUUGGGAGCAUGUUUUCCAGCUUCUUAAAUCAGUGCGUGCCAACGCAGCCCCCUGCCCCGCCAUGCCACAUGCACCUGAGUCUGUUUCCGCGUCUAGUUAGCUCAAAUCUCUUUCUGAAGCUCAGUUUUCCCAUCUGUUAAGUGGAGAUCAUAAACCCUGACCCACGUCCUCACAUGGUAGAUGGGAAUAAGGAUCCACCCAUAACCAAGAUGUAAAACAACCAGCCAAGAGUAAGGGUCCCCUUAAUUCUGUGAGAGGAGGAAGAGGAAGAAAGCUGAAGAUAUUGGGCGGUGGUCCUUGGCAGCCUCGAUUUCUUCAGGUGAAAAACAUGAUAGAUAACAUUUUCCCUUUGGGAUUGUGGAAAGACCAAAAGAGAAAACGAAGGGAUUAGCUGGCACACAGUGGGUUCUGAACAAUGGCAGGCAACUUGUGAAGCCCCGUUCUGGGUUCUGAGUCUCACUUGUAUUACAGAUCUAAUCUAGCGGGACAUGGAACUUGCUCUCCAGCACAGAAGCCCUGCUAUUUUAGUCCCAGGAUCCUGAAUACAUUCGGGAUGAGAGGCUGGGGGCAGGCGCUCUGUGGGCCCACGCAUUGUCUUGACCACCACGCGUAACAUCCUGGGCUUUCAGGCUUGGAUCAACACCAACACGUGUCAAAGAGACGCAGUGCGACAGCUCCACACUUCUUUGUUCAUCUCUCUCCAGGAGCAUUAAAGCUUUUUUAUUAUCCCAGCCACAGCUCUUGGAGGCUCUGAGUCACUAACAACUUAAAAAGAAAAAACGAAACCUUGCCUCCUGUGUUCUGGGCACCCUCCUUUUCUCUGUCUGACCGCCAGACGAUUGUGGAAACUGCCUUGCAGACUCUCCUCAGAGGUUCAGAAGGUAAAGGCUUCCCCAACAGCUGCGUGAGGAGUGGAUGGGGCUGAAUGGCGGCAGAGAGGAAUGGAAGAGCAUGAGCGUGGCAGAUGCCCCUUGUGACCAAGGACAAGGUCACGUUCACCUCUGUGAUCCCGGGCCCACACAGUGACAGGUGCAGAGCAGGUGUUACACCGAAGAAUUGGGUGGGUCAAAAAUUUCAUUUUAUGUUAUUAUUUUAUUGAACGAUUUAUUUAUUUGAGAGAGGGAGAGAGGGACAGAGAGCAUGAGCAGGAGGGGCAGAGAGAGGAGAGAGAAUCUCAAACAGACUCCAAGCUGAGCACGGAGCCUGAUGUGGGGCUUGAUCCCAGGGCCCUGAGAUCGAUCAGGACCCAAGCCGAAACCAAGAGCUAGAUAUUUAACUGACUGCGCCACCGAGGUGCCUCUGAAUCAACAAAUUUAAAAAGAGGUUUUCAGGGCAGCCCGGUGGCUCAGCGGUUUAGCGCCGCCUUCAGCCCAGGGCCUGAUCCUGGAGUCCCGGGAUCAUCGGAUCGAGUCCCACAUCCGGCUCCCUGCAUGGAGCCUGCCUCUCUCUCUCUCUCUCUCUCUCUCUCUCUCUCUCUCUCUCUCUCUCCCCCCAUGUCAUGAAUAAGUAAAUAAAAUUUAAAAAUAAAAUAAACGAAAGAAAAAUAGGAAAGAAAGGGAGAUCCAGAAAUAGAUCUAAAUAUAUAUGAGGACUUUUUGGUAUGAUAAAGGUGGCAUCUGAAAAUGAUGAUUAGAUGGGCUCUUCCAUAUAUGAUGCAGGAACCACUGGGUAGCCAUCCAGAAAAAAUAAGGUCAGAUUAAUACCGGAACGUAUAUACUAGGACAGAUACCAAGUGCGCCAGAGAUAGAAAUGCAAAAAAUCAACAAUUCUAAGGACAGUGAGCAGAGAAUAUGAACACUCAGUUCACAGCAAAUAAUAGUGGAUGUGAAGCACAUGGAAAGAUGAACAACCUGGCUUAUGAAGACACCACUGCAUACGAUGCAAGAGUUUGAUAACCAGACGGUUGGGCAAGGCCGUGGGGAACACGCAUUGGAUGAGAAAGCUAGCUGUCCUCUUCAAGUCCCUGCCCCUGGCUUAUCAUUCCCGACUCCCUUGAAGCGAUAGUAAGUUGGACACUUGGAAAGGGCCUGACCCUCACACUUGUUGUUGCUCUAACUUUGCAGGCACUUUGGUCUGUGCCCAUUGAUGUGAGCCGGCUAAGGGAGACCCACAUUAACCAAACACACGAGAAGCUGGUGUGUGAACUAGAAGGGGAAAUCAUUUUUUAUUUUUAUUUUUUUAAAGAUUUUAUUUAUGGGAUCCCUGGGUGGCGCAGCGGUUUAGCGCCUGCCUUUGGCCCAGGGCGCGAUCCUGGAGACCCGGGAUCGAGUCCCACAUCGGGCUCUUGGUGCAUGGAGCCUGCUUCUCCCUCUGCCUGUGUCUCUCUCUCUCUCUGUGACUAUCAUAAAUAAAUAAAAAAAAAGAUUUUAUUUAUUUAAUCAUGAGAGAGAGAGAGAGAGAGAGAGAGAGAGACAGGCAGAGACACAGGCAGAGGGAGAAGCAGGCUCCAUGCAGGGAGCCUGACGUGGGACUCAUCCUGGGUGUCCAGGAUCACGCCCUGGGCUAAAGUCGGUGCUAAACAGCUGAGCCACCCAGGCUGCCCCGAAAUCAUUUUUUAAACGAUUUAACUCAUUUAUUUGACACAGAAAAAGAGAGAACACAAGCAGGGGGAGUAGCAGAGAGAGAGAGAGAGAGAGAGAGAGACCAAUGCAGGGCUCAGUCCCAAGACUCCAGGAUCAUGACCUGAGCCAAAGGCAGACGCUAGAGCGACUGAGCCACCCACGUGCCCCGAGAAAUCAUUUUUUUAAGUAUUGUAUUUAUUUUUAUUUUUUUAUUUUUGUUUUUUUUUUUAUUAUUUAUGAUAGUCACACAGAAUGAGAGAGAGAGAGGCAGAGACACAGGCAGAGGGAGAGGCAGGCUCCAUGCACCGGGAGCCCGACGUGGGAUUCGAUCCCGGGUCUCCAGGAUCGCGCCCUGGGCCAAAGGCGAGCGCUAAACCGCUGCGCCACCCAGGGAUCCCCUGUAUUUAUUUAUUUUUAAGUAGGCUCCACGUGCGAGUGGGACUUGAACACAGGACCCCGUUCUAGAGCUUACAUGCUAUGAGGCUAAAAGGCAAUAAAUAAAUGUAUAAAAUGUCAAGUGACGCCGUGCUGUGGAAUACAGGAAAGCCAGGUAAGGGAGAAGCAGGGGCCCUGGGCGGAUGACGGAAGAUGAAGCACAGGACUCUCUGCCAGCUGUUGAUAGUCUCCCUUUCCAGACGAGGAGGGUACAGAGAAAGGACCUGCCUGACAUGUUUUGGCCUUGUGUCUGGUUCUCACCAAUACACUGUAUACGGAACAUGGGAACGUGGGCCACCUGGGUGGCUCAGCGGUUGAGCGUCAGUCAGUCUGUGGCCCAGGUGGUGAUCCCGGGUCUUGGGAUCGAGUGGUGCAUGGGGCUCCCGGGAGGGAGCCCGUUCCUCCCCCUGCCUAUGUCUCUGCCUCUCUCUCUCUCCCUCGGUCUCUCAUAAAUAAAUAUAUACAUACAUACAUGAAUGAAUGAAUGAAUGAAUGAAUGAAAGAAAGAAAGAACGAAAGAAAGAAAGAACGAAAGAAAGAAAUCUUAAAAAAAACAAAGAAGCCUGUCUCGUUACUGCUAAUAAUCAUGUCUGAUAACUUGUCAUCUCAUCAUCUCCCGGUUUAGAGAUCUCAGAUGGAAGGGUUGACGGAGGAGGCCAGGUUACUCGCUAGGUCCCACGGGUCCGCAGGGCUUAGCGCCCACGCUCGCCAGCUCCACGCUCCGGGGCACCCCCCCCCGCCCCGCCCCCCGCCCGCGUCCCGUCGGCGGAGGCAGCGGGAAGAGGACCCCAGAGGACCCGUGUGUCAGCAUCGGCAAUGCUCAGUCUCGUCGUGGGCCUGACUGGGAAGAAGCAUUCCUCGGUUGCCGGCGCCCCCGGCUUCCUCGGCCUAGCCUGCCCCUCGCACUCACUCGCCAAGCUGUGUGGUCUCGGGCCAGUUGCCUAACCUCUCUGCCUCCACCGCUUCUUCCGUAGGUAAACUCUGCAAGUUGGACGCCAAGAGAGCACUGAGCGCAAGUCUGGCCCAGACGAGAAGCGUUGGCUACGGUAUAGCGCACGCGGCUCACUCGUUUCGGUGUCACAGGCACGACGUCUCCACCGGUACCUCGUGGCACCUAGGACCCACAUCCUGGACCACUCAGACCCCAAGCUUCAUCUACUUAUGAAAAUGAGAGAGAGACCGAGAGAGGCACAGACCCACACAGGCACGGGGGAAGCAGGCUCCAUGCAGGGAGCCUGACUUGGGACCGGAUCUUGGAUCCCCAGCAUCACGUCCGGGUCCGCAAAGGGCUCUCUGCAGGGAGCUUGCUUCUCCCUCUUCUUCCUCUGCUUAGGUCUCUACCUCUCUCCGUGUUUCUCAUGAAUAAAGAGAAUAUUUAAAAUCAAUAAAAUAUUUUUAUUUAUUUUUUUAAAGAUUUUAUUUAUUUAUUCAUGAUAGUCACACAGAGAGAGACAGAGAGGCAGAGACACAGGCAGAGGGAGAAGCAGGCUUCCAUGCAGGGAGCCUGACGCGGGAUUCAACCCCGGGUCUCCAGGAUCGCGCCCCGGGCCAAAGGCAGGCGCCAAACCGCUGCGCCACCCAGGGAUCCCGAUGAAAUAUUUUUAAGAAGAAUCUCUUAUAAAAUUUGCCAGCAAGGAAAAUACCUCCUCAGCGUGAGGCAGAUUUUGUCUCCUGUCUCAUGAAGUUUUGUGGGUAGUCUGAAUAUAAUUUAACGAAACAAGUAAAUCAAAUACAUACGAAUAGGAUAAAAAGUUUUUAGAUGAAACUGUUUUUUGUGUACAUACAAUGGAAUGUUUCAGCUCUAUUGUUUAUUUAAGUAAUCUCCACACCCAAUGUGGGGCUGGAACCCGCGACUCAGAGAUCAAGACUUGCAUGCUCUACCAACUAAGCCAGCCAAGCACUCCUAGAGACACAGAGACAGAGGCAGAGACAGAGACAGAGGCAGAGACAUAGGCAGAGGGAGAAACAGGCUCCUCGCAGGGAGCCCGAUGCAGAAUUCGAUCCCAGGAUCCUAGGAUCAAGACCUGAGACGAAGGGAGAUGCCUAACCGAGGGAAGGGAAGGGAAGGGAAGGGAAGGGAAGGGAAGGGAAGGGAAGGGAAGGGAAGGGAAGGGAAGGGAGGGGAGGGGCAGACGGCGAGAGAAAUCUAAGCAGACUCCUGGCUGAAGACUCACCCCGCUGUGGGGCUACAUCUCACGAUCCUGAGGUCAAGACCUGAGCAGAAACCAACAGUUGGACGCAGCCGACUGUGCCAUCCAGGUGCCCCCCACUUUGUGUCUUAAACAAUGGGCCAGACUCCCAACAUUCUGCUCUUGGGAGCAUGUUUUCCAGCUUCUUAAAUCAGUGCGUGCCAACGCAGCCCCCUGCCCCGCCAUGCCACAUGCACCUGAGUCUGUUUCCGCGUCUAGUUAGCUCAAAUCUCUUUCUGAAGCUCAGUUUUCCCAUCUGUUAAGUGGAGAUCAUAAACCCUGACCCACGUCCUCACAUGGUAGAUGGGAAUAAGGAUCCACCCAUAACCAAGAUGUAAAACAACCAGCCAAGAGUAAGGGUCCCCUUAAUUCUGUGAGAGGAGGAAGAGGAAGAAAGCUGAAGAUAUUGGGCGGUGGUCCUUGGCAGCCUCGAUUUCUUCAGGUGAAAAACAUGAUAGAUAACAUUUUCCCUUUGGGAUUGUGGAAAGACCAAAAGAGAAAACGAAGGGAUUAGCUGGCACACAGUGGGUUCUGAACAAUGGCAGGCAACUUGUGAAGCCCCGUUCUGGGUUCUGAGUCUCACUUGUAUUACAGAUCUAAUCUAGCGGGACAUGGAACUUGCUCUCCAGCACAGAAGCCCUGCUAUUUUAGUCCCAGGAUCCUGAAUACAUUCGGGAUGAGAGGCUGGGGGCAGGCGCUCUGUGGGCCCACGCAUUGUCUUGACCACCACGCGUAACAUCCUGGGCUUUCAGGCUUGGAUCAACACCAACACGUGUCAAAGAGACGCAGUGCGACAGCUCCACACUUCUUUGUUCAUCUCUCUCCAGGAGCAUUAAAGCUUUUUUAUUAUCCCAGCCACAGCUCUUGGAGGCUCUGAGUCACUAACAACUUAAAAAGAAAAAACGAAACCUUGCCUCCUGUGUUCUGGGCACCCUCCUUUUCUCUGUCUGACCGCCAGACGAUUGUGGAAACUGCCUUGCAGACUCUCCUCAGAGGUUCAGAAGGUAAAGGCUUCCCCAACAGCUGCGUGAGGAGUGGAUGGGGCUGAAUGGCGGCAGAGAGGAAUGGAAGAGCAUGAGCGUGGCAGAUGCCCCUUGUGACCAAGGACAAGGUCACGUUCACCUCUGUGAUCCCGGGCCCACACAGUGACAGGUGCAGAGCAGGUGUUACACCGAAGAAUUGGAGAUCUCAGAUGGAAGGGUUGACGGAGGAGGCCAGGUUACUCGCUAGGUCCCACGGGUCCGCAGGGCUUAGCGCCCACGCUCGCCAGCUCCACGCUCCGGGGCACCCCCCCCCGCCCCGCCCCCCGCCCGCGUCCCGUCGGCGGAGGCAGCGGGAAGAGGACCCCAGAGGACCCGUGUGUCAGCAUCGGCAAUGCUCAGUCUCGUCGUGGGCCUGACUGGGAAGAAGCAUUCCUCGGUUGCCGGCGCCCCCGGCUUCCUCGGCCUAGCCUGCCCCUCGCACUCACUCGCCAAGCUGUGUGGUCUCGGGCCAGUUGCCUAACCUCUCUGCCUCCACCGCUUCUUCCGUAGGUAAACUCUGCAAGUUGGACGCCAAGAGAGCACUGAGCGCAAGUCUGGCCCAGACGAGAAGCGUUGGCUACGGUAUAGCGCACGCGGCUCACUCGUUUCGGUGUCACAGGCACGACGUCUCCACCGGUACCUCGUGGCACCUAGGACCCACAUCCUGGACCACUCAGACCCCAAGGCUUCCCCAACAGCUGCGUGAGGAGUGGAUGGGGCUGAAUGGCGGCAGAGAGGAAUGGAAGAGCAUGAGCGUGGCAGAUGCCCCUUGUGACCAAGGACAAGGUCACGUUCACCUCUGUGAUCCCGGGCCCACACAGUGACAGGUGCAGAGCAGGUGUUACACCGAAGAAUUGGAGAUCUCAGAUGGAAGGGUUGACGGAGGAGGCCAGGUUACUCGCUAGGUCCCACGGGUCCGCAGGGCUUAGCGCCCACGCUCGCCAGCUCCACGCUCCGGGGCACCCCCCCCCGCCCCGCCCCCCGCCCGCGUCCCGUCGGCGGAGGCAGCGGGAAGAGGACCCCAGAGGACCCGUGUGUCAGCAUCGGCAAUGCUCAGUCUCGUCGUGGGCCUGACUGGGAAGAAGCAUUCCUCGGUUGCCGGCGCCCCCGGCUUCCUCGGCCUAGCCUGCCCCUCGCACUCACUCGCCAAGCUGUGUGGUCUCGGGCCAGUUGCCUAACCUCUCUGCCUCCACCGCUUCUUCCGUAGGUAAACUCUGCAAGUUGGACGCCAAGAGAGCACUGAGCGCAAGUCUGGCCCAGACGAGAAGCGUUGGCUACGGUAUAGCGCACGCGGCUCACUCGUUUCGGUGUCACAGGCACGACGUCUCCACCGGUACCUCGUGGCACCUAGGACCCACAUCCUGGACCACUCAGACCCCAAGGCUUCCCCAACAGCUGCGUGAGGAGUGGAUGGGGCUGAAUGGCGGCAGAGAGGAAUGGAAGAGCAUGAGCGUGGCAGAUGCCCCUUGUGACCAAGGACAAGGUCACGUUCACCUCUGUGAUCCCGGGCCCACACAGUGACAGGUGCAGAGCAGGUGUUACACCGAAGAAUUGGAGAUCUCAGAUGGAAGGGUUGACGGAGGAGGCCAGGUUACUCGCUAGGUCCCACGGGUCCGCAGGGCUUAGCGCCCACGCUCGCCAGCUCCACGCUCCGGGGCACCCCCCCCCGCCCCGCCCCCCGCCCGCGUCCCGUCGGCGGAGGCAGCGGGAAGAGGACCCCAGAGGACCCGUGUGUCAGCAUCGGCAAUGCUCAGUCUCGUCGUGGGCCUGACUGGGAAGAAGCAUUCCUCGGUUGCCGGCGCCCCCGGCUUCCUCGGCCUAGCCUGCCCCUCGCACUCACUCGCCAAGCUGUGUGGUCUCGGGCCAGUUGCCUAACCUCUCUGCCUCCACCGCUUCUUCCGUAGGUAAACUCUGCAAGUUGGACGCCAAGAGAGCACUGAGCGCAAGUCUGGCCCAGACGAGAAGCGUUGGCUACGGUAUAGCGCACGCGGCUCACUCGUUUCGGUGUCACAGGCACGACGUCUCCACCGGUACCUCGUGGCACCUAGGACCCACAUCCUGGACCACUCAGACCCCAAGCUUCAUCUACUUAUGAAAAUGAGAGAGAGACCGAGAGAGGCACAGACCCACACAGGCACGGGGGAAGCAGGCUCCAUGCAGGGAGCCUGACUUGGGACCGGAUCUUGGAUCCCCAGCAUCACGUCCGGGUCCGCAAAGGGCUCUCUGCAGGGAGCUUGCUUCUCCCUCUUCUUCCUCUGCUUAGGUCUCUACCUCUCUCCGUGUUUCUCAUGAAUAAAGAGAAUAUUUAAAAUCAAUAAAAUAUUUUUAUUUAUUUUUUUAAAGAUUUUAUUUAUUUAUUCAUGAUAGUCACACAGAGAGAGACAGAGAGGCAGAGACACAGGCAGAGGGAGAAGCAGGCUUCCAUGCAGGGAGCCUGACGCGGGAUUCAACCCCGGGUCUCCAGGAUCGCGCCCCGGGCCAAAGGCAGGCGCCAAACCGCUGCGCCACCCAGGGAUCCCGAUGAAAUAUUUUUAAGAAGAAUCUCUUAUAAAAUUUGCCAGCAAGGAAAAUACCUCCUCAGCGUGAGGCAGAUUUUGUCUCCUGUCUCAUGAAGUUUUGUGGGUAGUCUGAAUAUAAUUUAACGAAACAAGUAAAUCAAAUACAUACGAAUAGGAUAAAAAGUUUUUAGAUGAAACUGUUUUUUGUGUACAUACAAUGGAAUGUUUCAGCUCUAUUGUUUAUUUAAGUAAUCUCCACACCCAAUGUGGGGCUGGAACCCGCGACUCAGAGAUCAAGACUUGCAUGCUCUACCAACUAAGCCAGCCAAGCACUCCUAGGUGAAUUAUUAUUAUUAUUAUUUAUUUAUUUAUUUAUUUAUUUACGACUCUAUUUAUUUGAGAUAGAGUGUGUGUGAGAGAGCAUGAGCAGGGGGCGGAGGGAGAGGGAGAAUCGGACUCUGCUGGGCAGGGAGCCUGACUCAGGCCUUGAUCCCAGGACCCUGGGAAAAUGACCUGAGCUGAAGGCGGACGCUCAACCUAACUGACUCAGCCUGAAACCUUAAAGUUUUGCUAAGCUAAGAGAUGAGUUACUUUCGUUAGAUAGCCGGAUCACAUCCAAGUAAGAUAAUAAAUGAAACAUUGAAACAUCGAUUACUGAACAAAAAAAGUGGCUUAUCCACUUUUUGCUUUUUUUUCUUAAAUAGAGGAAUUAAAUAUAUUUGGAUCUAUUAAUAAACGUGUUUAGUGCCACAGUAAGAAAUUUACAGGAGAAAGCAUGUGUUUCUAGAAAUUAUAAAAGGAUAAAUCUGCCAAGCCACAAAAUGCUAAGAUGGUUCACAGUGGCUUGCUUCUUAGUUUUCACUGGAAAUUAAAGAUUUCUAAGAGUUAAGCAUCCUAAUAUAUAUAAGUAAAGCUACUAGAGAUAAUAAGGGAAAGGAACUUUAUGUAUGGUCAGGACUAAGAUGGGAAUGGCUUUAAUUAAGUAAAUGAAAGGUUUGUUUACAAAGGGGAUCCCUGGGUGGCGCAGCGGUUUAGCGCCUGCCUUUGGCCCAGGGCGCGACCCUGGAGACCCGGGCUCGAAUCCCACGUCGGGCUCCCGGUGCAUGGAGCCUGCUUCUCCCUCUCCCUCUGCCUAUGUCUGUCUGUCUGUCUGUCUCUCUCUCUCUCUCUGUGUGUGUGUGUGUGUGACUAUCAUAAAUAAAUAAAAAUUUUUAAAGAAGAUUUAUUUAUUGAUUUGUGCUAUAAAUAAAUAUUAUUUAUCUAUUUAUUCACAAGAGACACAGAGACAGAGGCAGAGACAGAGACAGAGGCAGAGACAUAGGCAGAGGGAGAAACAGGCUCCUCGCAGGGAGCCCGAUGCAGAAUUCGAUCCCAGGAUCCUAGGAUCAAGACCUGAGACGAAGGGAGAUGCCUAACCGAGGGAAGGGAAGGGAAGGGAAGGGAAGGGAAGGGAAGGGAAGGGAAGGGAAGGGAAGGGAAGGGAAGGGAAGGGAGGGGAGGGGCAGACGGCGAGAGAAAUCUAAGCAGACUCCUGGCUGAAGACUCACCCCGCUGUGGGGCUACAUCUCACGAUCCUGAGGUCAAGACCUGAGCAGAAACCAACAGUUGGACGCAGCCGACUGUGCCAUCCAGGUGCCCCCCACUUUGUGUCUUAAACAAUGGGCCAGACUCCCAACAUUCUGCUCUUGGGAGCAUGUUUUCCAGCUUCUUAAAUCAGUGCGUGCCAACGCAGCCCCCUGCCCCGCCAUGCCACAUGCACCUGAGUCUGUUUCCGCGUCUAGUUAGCUCAAAUCUCUUUCUGAAGCUCAGUUUUCCCAUCUGUUAAGUGGAGAUCAUAAACCCUGACCCACGUCCUCACAUGGUAGAUGGGAAUAAGGAUCCACCCAUAACCAAGAUGUAAAACAACCAGCCAAGAGUAAGGGUCCCCUUAAUUCUGUGAGAGGAGGAAGAGGAAGAAAGCUGAAGAUAUUGGGCGGUGGUCCUUGGCAGCCUCGAUUUCUUCAGGUGAAAAACAUGAUAGAUAACAUUUUCCCUUUGGGAUUGUGGAAAGACCAAAAGAGAAAACGAAGGGAUUAGCUGGCACACAGUGGGUUCUGAACAAUGGCAGGCAACUUGUGAAGCCCCGUUCUGGGUUCUGAGUCUCACUUGUAUUACAGAUCUAAUCUAGCGGGACAUGGAACUUGCUCUCCAGCACAGAAGCCCUGCUAUUUUAGUCCCAGGAUCCUGAAUACAUUCGGGAUGAGAGGCUGGGGGCAGGCGCUCUGUGGGCCCACGCAUUGUCUUGACCACCACGCGUAACAUCCUGGGCUUUCAGGCUUGGAUCAACACCAACACGUGUCAAAGAGACGCAGUGCGACAGCUCCACACUUCUUUGUUCAUCUCUCUCCAGGAGCAUUAAAGCUUUUUUAUUAUCCCAGCCACAGCUCUUGGAGGCUCUGAGUCACUAACAACUUAAAAAGAAAAAACGAAACCUUGCCUCCUGUGUUCUGGGCACCCUCCUUUUCUCUGUCUGACCGCCAGACGAUUGUGGAAACUGCCUUGCAGACUCUCCUCAGAGGUUCAGAAGGUAAAGGCUUCCCCAACAGCUGCGUGAGGAGUGGAUGGGGCUGAAUGGCGGCAGAGAGGAAUGGAAGAGCAUGAGCGUGGCAGAUGCCCCUUGUGACCAAGGACAAGGUCACGUUCACCUCUGUGAUCCCGGGCCCACACAGUGACAGGUGCAGAGCAGGUGUUACACCGAAGAAUUGGGUGGGUCAAAAAUUUCAUUUUAUGUUAUUAUUUUAUUGAACGAUUUAUUUAUUUGAGAGAGGGAGAGAGGGACAGAGAGCAUGAGCAGGAGGGGCAGAGAGAGGAGAGAGAAUCUCAAACAGACUCCAAGCUGAGCACGGAGCCUGAUGUGGGGCUUGAUCCCAGGGCCCUGAGAUCGAUCAGGACCCAAGCCGAAACCAAGAGCUAGAUAUUUAACUGACUGCGCCACCGAGGUGCCUCUGAAUCAACAAAUUUAAAAAGAGGUUUUCAGGGCAGCCCGGUGGCUCAGCGGUUUAGCGCCGCCUUCAGCCCAGGGCCUGAUCCUGGAGUCCCGGGAUCAUCGGAUCGAGUCCCACAUCCGGCUCCCUGCAUGGAGCCUGCCUCUCUCUCUCUCUCUCUCUCUCUCUCUCUCUCUCUCUCUCUCUCUCCCCCCAUGUCAUGAAUAAGUAAAUAAAAUUUAAAAAUAAAAUAAACGAAAGAAAAAUAGGAAAGAAAGGGAGAUCCAGAAAUAGAUCUAAAUAUAUAUGAGGACUUUUUGGUAUGAUAAAGGUGGCAUCUGAAAAUGAUGAUUAGAUGGGCUCUUCCAUAUAUGAUGCAGGAACCACUGGGUAGCCAUCCAGAAAAAAUAAGGUCAGAUUAAUACCGGAACGUAUAUACUAGGACAGAUACCAAGUGCGCCAGAGAUAGAAAUGCAAAAAAUCAACAAUUCUAAGGACAGUGAGCAGAGAAUAUGAACACUCAGUUCACAGCAAAUAAUAGUGGAUGUGAAGCACAUGGAAAGAUGAACAACCUGGCUUAUGAAGACACCACUGCAUACGAUGCAAGAGUUUGAUAACCAGACGGUUGGGCAAGGCCGUGGGGAACACGCAUUGGAUGAGAAAGCUAGCUGUCCUCUUCAAGUCCCUGCCCCUGGCUUAUCAUUCCCGACUCCCUUGAAGCGAUAGUAAGUUGGACACUUGGAAAGGGCCUGACCCUCACACUUGUUGUUGCUCUAACUUUGCAGGCACUUUGGUCUGUGCCCAUUGAUGUGAGCCGGCUAAGGGAGACCCACAUUAACCAAACACACGAGAAGCUGGUGUGUGAACUAGAAGGGGAAAUCAUUUUUUAUUUUUAUUUUUUUAAAGAUUUUAUUUAUGGGAUCCCUGGGUGGCGCAGCGGUUUAGCGCCUGCCUUUGGCCCAGGGCGCGAUCCUGGAGACCCGGGAUCGAGUCCCACAUCGGGCUCUUGGUGCAUGGAGCCUGCUUCUCCCUCUGCCUGUGUCUCUCUCUCUCUCUGUGACUAUCAUAAAUAAAUAAAAAAAAAAGAUUUUAUUUAUUUAAUCAUGAGAGAGAGAGAGAGAGAGAGAGAGAGAGAGACAGGCAGAGACACAGGCAGAGGGAGAAGCAGGCUCCAUGCAGGGAGCCUGACGUGGGACUCAUCCUGGGUGUCCAGGAUCACGCCCUGGGCUAAAGUCGGUGCUAAACAGCUGAGCCACCCAGGCUGCCCCGAAAUCAUUUUUUAAACGAUUUAACUCAUUUAUUUGACACAGAAAAAGAGAGAACACAAGCAGGGGGAGUAGCAGAGAGAGAGAGAGAGAGAGAGAGAGAGACCAAUGCAGGGCUCAGUCCCAAGACUCCAGGAUCAUGACCUGAGCCAAAGGCAGACGCUAGAGCGACUGAGCCACCCACGUGCCCCGAGAAAUCAUUUUUUUAAGUAUUGUAUUUAUUUUUAUUUUUUUAUUUUUGUUUUUUUUUUUAUUAUUUAUGAUAGUCACACAGAAUGAGAGAGAGAGAGGCAGAGACACAGGCAGAGGGAGAGGCAGGCUCCAUGCACCGGGAGCCCGACGUGGGAUUCGAUCCCGGGUCUCCAGGAUCGCGCCCUGGGCCAAAGGCGAGCGCUAAACCGCUGCGCCACCCAGGGAUCCCCUGUAUUUAUUUAUUUUUAAGUAGGCUCCACGUGCGAGUGGGACUUGAACACAGGACCCCGUUCUAGAGCUUACAUGCUAUGAGGCUAAAAGGCAAUAAAUAAAUGUAUAAAAUGUCAAGUGACGCCGUGCUGUGGAAUACAGGAAAGCCAGGUAAGGGAGAAGCAGGGGCCCUGGGCGGAUGACGGAAGAUGAAGCACAGGACUCUCUGCCAGCUGUUGAUAGUCUCCCUUUCCAGACGAGGAGGGUACAGAGAAAGGACCUGCCUGACAUGUUUUGGCCUUGUGUCUGGUUCUCACCAAUACACUGUAUACGGAACAUGGGAACGUGGGCCACCUGGGUGGCUCAGCGGUUGAGCGUCAGUCAGUCUGUGGCCCAGGUGGUGAUCCCGGGUCUUGGGAUCGAGUGGUGCAUGGGGCUCCCGGGAGGGAGCCCGUUCCUCCCCCUGCCUAUGUCUCUGCCUCUCUCUCUCUCCCUCGGUCUCUCAUAAAUAAAUAUAUACAUACAUACAUGAAUGAAUGAA